rnacentral:rRNA from 1 species
CACGUAGGGCGCAAGCGUUGUCCGGAAUUAUUGGGCGUAAAGAGCUCGUAGGCGGCUUGUCACGUCGGAUGUGAAAGCCCGGGGCUUAACUCCGGGUCUGCAUUCGAUACGGGCUGGCUAGAGUGUGGUAGGGGAGAUCGGAAUUCCUGGUGUAGCGGUGAAAUGCGCAGAUAUCAGGAGGAACACCGGUGGCGAAGGCGGAUCUCUGGGCCAUUACUGACGCUGAGACGCGAAAGCGUGGGGAGCAAACAGG